CAGCCGCCGCGGGAAUACGGAGGGGGCUAGCGUUGUUCGGAAUUACUGGGCGUAAAGCGCACGUAGGCGGCUUGGUAAGUUAGAGGUGAAAGCCUGGAGCUCAACUCCAGAAUUGCCUUUAAGACUGCCGAGCUAGCAGGUGAGAGAGGUAAGUGGAAUUCCGAGUGUAGAGGUGAAAUUCGUAGAUAUUCGGAAGAACACCAGUGGCGAAGGCGGCUUACUGGCUCAUACUGGACACUGAGGUGCGAAAGCGAGGGGAGCAAACAGGAUUAGAUACCCGAGUAGUCCCUGUCUCUUAUAA
rnacentral:rRNA from 1 species